UACAGAGGUGGCAAGCGUUGUUCGGAAUUACUGGGCGUAAAGGGCGCGUAGGCGGUCUUGCAAGUCCCGUGUGAAAUCCCUCGGCUCAACUGAGGAACUGCACGGGAAACUGUUUGGCUUGAGUUCGGGAGAGGGAAGCGGAAUUCCGGGUGUAGCGGUGAAAUGCGUAGAUAUCUGGAGGAACACCGGUGGCGAAGGCGGCAUCCUGGACCGGUAUUGACGCUGAGGCGCGAAAGCCAGGGGAGCAAACGGG
rnacentral:rRNA from 1 species